UACGAAGGGGGCUAGCGUUGCUCGGAAUCACUGGGCGUAAAGGGUGCGUAGGCGGGUCUUUAAGUCAGGGGUGAAAUCCUGGAGCUCAACUCCAGAACUGCCUUUGAUACUGAGGAUCUUGAGUCCGGGAGAGGUGAGUGGAACUGCGAGUGUAGAGGUGAAAUUCGUAGAUAUUCGCAAGAACACCAGUGGCGAGGGCGGCUCACUGGCCCGGUACUGACGCUGAGGCACGAAAGCGUGGGGAGCAAACAGG
rnacentral:rRNA from 1 species